AGUGAACGCUGGCGGCGGGCCUAACACAUGCAAGUCGAACGGCAGCACAGUAAGAGCUUGCUCUUACGGGUGGCGAGUGGCGGACGGGUGAGGAAUACAUCGGAAUCUACUUUUUCGUGGGGGAUAACGUAGGGAAACUUACGCUAAUACCGCAUACGACCUACGGGUGAAAGCAGGGGAUCUUCGGACCUUGCGCGAUUGAAUGAGCCGAUGUCGGAUUAGCUAGUUGGCGGGGUAAAGGCCCACCAAGGCGACGAUCCGUAGCUGGUCUGAGAGGAUGAUCGGCCACACUGGAACUGAGACACGGUCCAGACUCCUACGGGAGGCAGCAGUGGGGAAUAUUGGGCAAUGGGCGCAAGCCUGAUCCAGCCAUACCGCGUGGGUGAAGAAGGCCUUCGGGUUGUAAAGCCCUUUUGUUGGGAAAGAAAAGCAGCAGGUUAAUACCCCGCUGUUCUGACGGUACCCAAAGAAUAAGCACCGGCUAACUUCGUG
rnacentral:rRNA from 1 species